GAACCCGUUUGGAUAUUAUUGCGCUUGGUUGUCGCUUCGAGGCGAUAUUUGCAAUUUGUUUUUUUUGUGAAAUAGUUGGCGUUGAAUGAGUAAUGUUUUCAAAAUUGUUUUUAUAUGUCAUAUGUUUUAAUUAAAAAAAAAAAAACCAAAAAGUCUAGAGCAUUGCAGGACGGUCUUUUCGGGACAAAAACAAUUGUAAAACGCGAGUGCAGUGAAGUGUUAUGGUGUUUUUGGCAGAGCAAGUACCAAAGGAAAAGGUUCAAAUUGAAAAAAAUACCCAUAAAUUUAAAAGCAAAAAUUAUAAAUCACGCAAUUUAUUCAGAAGGAGCAACAUAUUAAUCGAGAAAUAUUAAUAGAAUAUAAAAGUUUUUAAGUGGCACAGGAGAACAGGCAAUUUUGUUUUCAACCUCAGUACAAAACGGCGAGAGUAGAUAAUUGGAUUAAGCGGUAUAAUAGGGAGCUGAACAAUGUGGAGCCCAACGCACAUACAAGUCACUGUUCAACGUGCAAAAGGCCUGCUGACGAAAGGUAAAAAUGGUACCAACAAUUGUUUCGUCACAAUUUCACUGGGCAAAGAGAAAUACCAGACAUCAGUCAAGGACAAAGCGGAAGCGAAUGUUAGUUGGAAUGAGGAAUGUGAACUCAAAAUUCCCGAUCAAGGCAAUCGUGCCGAACUGGCUUUGACUUGUCUGCAUCGCAAUAAUCUCGGCAUCGAUGAGUUUCUCGGUCAGGCUACAUUGCCACUCAAUGAAAUGGACGUAUACGAUCGUCCACGCUCUAAAUGGUUCAAGCUGGAGAGUAAACCCGGGAAAGAGAAAAAGAAUAAAGAGCGUGGUGAAUUGGAGGUGCGGAUUUCCUUUGUUGUCAAAUCUGGCUCACUGACUGAUCUGAGCAAGAAAGAAAAGCACAAGUCUUCCAUCGGCCAGUUGGCUUCUUCCGUGGGUGGCAGUCUUCUCUCAAUUGGCACAAUAGAAAAGCGCAAAGGCAUUAAGAAGUUUGCCAAAUCGAUUGGCUCGAAAAUGCAUUUGAGCAGCAAGAAGAAGAACAAAGAUGGUGAUGAUGUAUCGAACUUCAGUGGCUCAUUCGCGAGCAUAGGCACUCCGAAUAGUUCGAAUGGUGGUAGUAAUCGUUAUGGGCAACGCGCUGGUGAGGCCGAUCCCGGUGUGAUUAGUGAGGAUGAAGAUGAGUUCGUUUUUGACAAUUUGUCACACAAAAGCUCGGCGAGUUCGUUGAACAUACGUUCGAACCUACAGCCGCCUACACAAAAUUUUACGCCGCGUAAUCCUUCACCACUGCUGGGCAAAGUCGGAGGUAAGCCAUUGUCUAGAAGAGAUUUGGUGGAGGAGGAUCUCGCUGUAGAUCCCGAGUUAGAAGAGUUAGAAAACGACUUCAGCGUCCGUGCACGAACACUGCCGCCGCCCUCGAAACCACCUCGCACACAACAACAACUCAACGAUGUGAUAGCUGCGUCACCGAAGCAAAAGGAACCGGCUCUGGACGAAUGGGAGUCGAAGCUAUACAAACAACAUUUGCAGAUUGGAAGUUCAGAUUCGUUAAAACGACGCUCCUGGGAGCAAUCGCGCGUGCCGCUACCAACACCCAAUGAAGAGGCAGAAAAGGAAUUGCAAAUAAAAGUGGAAGAGAAAAACGUGGCCGAAAAUAAGCAAGAAAAUGGUAUUCAGAAACAGGAAAAUGGUUUCGCUGAUAGAAAUAUUUCGCAAAGAAACAGCGAGAGCGACUCUUCUUUAUCAUCUUCAGACUCAGACGAGGAGAAAAGUAUGCCUGAAUUAAACAAAACUGAAGUCAAAGGCGUUACUAACAAGCCACAAGAACUUAUUCUCACCCCUAAGCCCGUAGCAGCAACUCAAAAUAUAAGUCUCCUCUCGCCUGAUGAUGAAACAAAAGAUUUCAAAGAGUUUAACGCUUCGUUUUCAAAAUUCGAACAGCGCAAUAAGUCGCAUUUAUUUGAUUUGGAUAUGGAUAAAAAAUGGCAUACACAAUCUUUUAUACAGGAAGAGUCCAGAGCGCCUGCUGUGCCAAAGGCUAUGCCACGCAAUCGUGAACGGGAAGUAGAACUCAAACGCGCUGAAGAAGAGCAAGAAGCCGAGCGCGAACGUCAAGCGGAGGCUGAAGCUAAUGCUGCAGCAGCAAAAGCAGCAGCUGAUGCCGAAGCCAAGGUCGCAGCUGUUGCUGCUGCAGAGGCUGCGCGUAAGCGCCAAGCUGAACUAGAGGCGGCUUCUAUUGCUGCAGAGAUUGAACGAAACCGACGCGAAGCUGUUGAAAAAGAAGAACAAAGACGUGCUGCCGAAGCUGCACACCUCGAAGAAGAACUACGCAGAAAUGAGCAAAAGUUACGAGAAGAAGAGGAAGCAUUGCAGGAAGAAUUGCGCCAGCGUGAAGAGGAGAAACGGCGAGAAGCGAAAAGACGUGAAGAAGAUCAACGCAUUUUGAACUUUGCCAAACGCUCUACAUCGCUGGAGGAAGAAAAAACCCCCUACGGCACGCCCGAACAAUCGCCCAGCGAGACCUCGUCUGAGAAACGUGAACGGCGUAUGGGCAAAUACAAGUAUCUCAAUAAGCGAGAGAAAAGUGAAGAUAAUCGGUCCACACCAAGUCCCAAAGCCACUGAACGCAUUAUAAUUGGUCAUGAAAAAUCCACAUCACACGCAGAACGACGCUCGGAAAUAUCAGCAGCGCUAGCCAAGAAAUAUGAUGGCAAAUCGCGAGAGGAACUUAUGCUAAUAGCAAAUGGUAUGGAAAACGAAGCGUUACUGCAACGUCAACGUGUUAAGGAGCUGGAGGACUAUCUGGAUAAUUUGCUGCUGCGUGUAAUGGAAACGCAUCCAAAACUUUUGCAGAAUCCCUACUCAAGAACCACAUCGGCGAAGAGUUUUAAAAACUACAUCAAUAUGAAUGACUUUUUGUAAAGAAACAGUUGCGCAGCGCGAUGAAUUUCCAACCGAUUGGCGGUUCGCAUGUCGUAGCCAGGACAACGGCUAAAUGUUUGUGAAAAACAUUUUAUUUAUUAGUAAAUUUCGUGCGCUGAAUGAAAGCAAUACGGUGGCGGAAAUUUAAACCGCCUUCCAACCAACCAACAACAACACAAACAUCCACAAAAUCAAAUAUGAUAAUAGUAGAUAAAACGAAGGGAAAUCACCAAGUUGCCUUAUAGUGAAAAAUCCAAAGUGCUUUUUUACGAUGAUAAUAACUAAUUCUAAAACAAUUAUGAGUGUAUGUAGAAAAAAUAUGAUAUGAGUACGAGUUUAUUAUAAUUUUUUAAUCAAUGUAUGUUUUUUUUUUGGUUAGAAAUGAUUUUGUUUCUACUAAUACAGUUAAAUUAUUGAAUGUAACAUAUUUUUUAAAAUGGAUUAACAAACGUAAGAAAUAAUUGUAAAAUAUGAUUGUUGUGAAAACGUAUUUAAUACAGCGAUUUGCAAAGAAAAAACAUAAUACGCACCUUCACGGUUAAUGAUUCUGAAUUCUACAUCGAUGGUGGAAACUUAAAUUAAGUUAAUUUAUUAGUAAAAAAUUAAAAGUAAGUUUUAAGCGAAAAAUAUGUUAUGAAAAUCAACCGAUUGUCGCCAAACGCCUUUAUGUGAAUGUAUAUGUAAGACUUUCUAUGACGGCGGCACCCGCUGUAAAUAUGCAAACAAGUAACUAAUCUUAACUAUUUACAACGUUUAACUACAAUAUUUACGUAAAAUAGAACUAAAAAGUAAUCACGUUUAUUCAAAACAAACUGUAAAAUUUUGAACCAUUGCAUUUUUUUACAAAAAUUGACCAAACAAACAAAUCGCGUUACAAAAUUGCCCAUUAAUUGAGUAGCUUGGUGAGACCAGAUAUGUAUUUUCAAUGACUAUUGCUAGGAAUUAAGGUGUUUGUUGUCGCAUUUAUGAUUUGGUUGAAUUAUGAUUUUAUUUUUUAUAUUUUUUUAAUUGUAGUCCGUAGGUUUGGACAAUUGUGUUUUGCGAGUAAAACAUUACCACCAUCCUUGAAUAUGUUUAUCUCCGAGCUUUAUAUAUCUGUAUGAGCUGAAUUUAAAUGAUAUUGUACUUUAAGCUUGAUUAAAAAUAUCAUUAAAUAAAUAUUAUUAAACUAUUUGUACUAUAAAA